rnacentral:rRNA from 1 species
GACGUAGGGGGCCAGCGUUGUUCGGAAUUACUGGGUGUAAAGGGUUCGUAGGCGGUGUGGCAAGUCGGGAGUGAAAUCUCUGGGCUCAACCCAGAGUCUGCUUCCGAAACUGCUGUGCUUGAGUGUGGGAGAGGCGCGUGGAAUUGCAGGUGUAGCGGUGAAAUGCGUAGAUAUCUGGAGGAACACCGGUGGCGAAGGCGGCAUCCUGGACCAACACUGACGCUGAUGAGCGAAAGCCAGGGGAGCAAACGGG